CGUUUAAGUGCAAAAGCUUUUUUCAAAACUGCUUUUUAUUAGACAAGAACGUUGAAAAACAAAAGCUUUCUUUUCAAAGCAGAUUUAUAUUACAAUAUUCGAAUGAAGAAAUUCC